CUUGAAAGUAACACAUAAUUUGGAAUAAAUGAAAAAGGAAAAUAAAUUUUAUGAGAUGAAUAAAGUAAAAUUAUCUACCAUAAUCUUACGCUAUAAUCACAAUCUUUAGCUGCUAUAUUCGAUUUGUCGUUAAGUGCAUCCACGAUGACGUCACACUUGACGUUAGUUGUAAUUUCCCAUGUAUUCAUGAACCCCACCUUAAAUUUAACGGGUAACUUUAACCCCACCACCAAUGGCACUAUUCUUUCAUUCUGCCUGUUUAUUAACGUCGUCUUAACGGCACUUCCUAGUACUACGUUGGACCCCCUCAACGCCGUUUGAACUACCGUCACGUUGUUCUUCGGCUGGUAAAAAGCAGGCAAAACGCCGUCGCUUAGCUUAAAGUCGUUAUAAAAAACCUUAACGUAGCUGUUUUUUGUAUAGUAUAUGCCGAUCUUGUCGUUAGGAUUCUCCGUCCUGAUGCUGACGUCAAAUUCCAGUGAUAUGAAAGGCACUGAUGUCAGAUUCAUUCCUCUUAUAGCGACGGAGAUUAUCGUGUACUUCGGCGCUUCUGGACGGAAGACGAGGUAGAACACUCCGGCGGCGAUAGCAGCGGAAACAAUGAGGACUGUUAGGAGCCAGAGAGUAAAAUAGCAGCAACGGCGGCAGCAGCUCUGUCUUUUCCCGCGUGUGAGGGCAUGGAAUUUGCGUGCGUUUUCAGGUGGUGGAUAGCGUAGGAUUUGCUCUCUGGGGAUAAGUCGACGGAGUCGGCGGCAGUGGCUUCGAAUUAGGUGCUGGUUUGGAAGCGGCUCCGGAGUUCUUCGCCGUGGAUGGUGGCGCGUCGACGUUUAUGGGACGAAUUCGCUCUGCCAUUCUGAUCAACAGUGUAGAACAGAUUCAAAAUCAAAUUAGAAACAUAAUUCUGCGUAAAAAAUCAGUUGUAAUAAGAGUUGAGGAGUUGAGAAAAUGGAAGUGUGGUGUUGUAUCUAUACGUAAGUAUAUGUAGUUAUGAGUUCUUGUGCGGGUACCGAGUACGAGAAUAUAUAGAAUUGGAAUUAUACGUGUAAAUGAAGAGUGAAGAGUUAGG
rnacentral:lncRNA from 1 species